AUGUUAAACUCUAAACUUUUCAGUCUUCCAAGCUCAGAUUUUUCGCACCAUAUCAUGGAAGCGCUGGUGGCUAGCCGCGAAUUCUUUGGUGGUUUUAAAUGUGAGACAUUGCCUCCUCCUCAAUCUAAGAAACCGAACACUAUUGAGGAUUCUUUCUUGAACUUCACUUACAUGGUAAUGGAUGUCUUCAUGCAACAAGAGUCUCAACUAACUUUUAUGUCUUUUACUGUCUUCAUUUAA